AUACGGAGGAUCCGAGCGUUAUCCGGAUUUAUUGGGUUUAAAGGGAGCGUAGGUGGAUUGUUAAGUCAGUUGUGAAAGUUUGCGGCUCAACCGUAAAAUUGCAGUUGAAACUGGCAGUCUUGAGUACAGUAGAGGUGGGCGGAAUUCGUGGUGUAGCGGUGAAAUGCUUAGAUAUCACGAAGAACUCCGAUUGCGAAGGCAGCUCACUAGACUGUUACUGACACUGAUGCUCUAAAGUGUGGGUAUCAAACAGGAUUAGAUACCCUGGUAGUCCACACAGUAAACGAUGAAUACUCGCUGUUUGCGAUAUACAGUAAGCGGCCAAGCGAAAGCAUUAAGUAUUCCACCUGGGGAGUACGCCGGCAACGGUGAAACUUAAAGGAAUUGACGGGG
rnacentral:rRNA from 1 species